rnacentral:lncRNA from 1 species
AAUAGGUGAAGCAUCCACCAUUGUGGAUGGUCUUACAACUCACAAAUUUCACAUCUUUUUGCUAUAAAUUGUGCUUUUAAGUUUCAACAUUUUCACACAAUUUCGAGAUUCAUGAUAAAAUUUUGAAAAACUACCCGAUAUCACUCUUUCAUUUUAUUCAUUUUUUCUUCUUAUUCCCAUUUUUUUUCAUAGAUCUAAUUCUUAAAAAUUGUUCGAUUUCUGAUAUUUUUUCAAUUGGAAAAACAAUUAAACGAACUUCUCUUUAUUUUUCCUACCUUCAAUUCAUCUUGAUCUUUAUUCACCUGAUUUUAAUUGUUGCAGAAGUGGAUCUCAAAUGACGACUCUGAUGAAAGUAUCAACAUGCGGUGUGAACUCUGAAGAAAUUGGAUUAAACACUUUGAUUAGAAUGAAUUUUAUUAGUUUUUAAGUGAAUUCUUUUGCACAACUAUUCAUGUAAUUAGUUUUAAAAAUAAAAUUUAAUUUGUAUUGUAAAUGAUAUUUUUACAUUCCAAAAUAGUGGUGUUUGUAUAGAUUAAUGAUUAUGUUGUACUUUCAACUAUGAUGUGCAUCAACAAAAACAGGCUGUAAGAACUGU